CCUUCUCCCACACUUCGACUACAUUUCAUUCAACUAUAACAACCUCACUUGCCACAUACAUAACACCCAAUAAAUUCAUAUAGAAAUUUAUUCAUAUAUCUAUAACCAUGCCAUCGCCAGGAGAAGCCGAGCUGCCGAAGAUUUGUUGUUCAGAGUGCUUAGCGAAGAUACUCGAAGCGAUGCAAUCUCAGCAGGACUCUCCUAUGACUGAAGAAGAAUCCCCAAAUGAGGAUCAUCUUUCUCCCGAUGAUAACAUAAACGUGGUCAUGUGGCUAGAACACGACGAGAUUUCCGAUGAUGAUGAUGUCAUUAUCUUCCAACGCAGAUGACAAAAAUGUUCUCCCUGGGGAACAGCCAAAGAAUAAUUAAAAAUCUAGUUCAUACAAGAAACCGCUACAAAACCAAAAAAAAUUACAGAUUUUUGUUCGGUUUUGUGCAGCCUGCAGAAGGAUUACUUGAAUAAUCUCAAUCCACCGGAGUUACGCAUUCUUGAUUGCCAUUAAGAAUGAUUCGUUUCCCGAUUACAGAACCGAAAAGUUCUGCAGCCCUCACCAAAAAUUAAGAACUGGCAGCCGACGUAAUGGACUACUCUCAUCAACACAACUGCCCGGAACCGGAGUAUGCUCAUAUGGAGGAUCAGAAAUUGACGAUCCCUGAUGGAGGUCAACACUUGCCAAGCAAAAAAGAUGGAGGGAAAUCAUUGCUAAUAGAUCAUCUUAAAUGUAAAAGCAUACAUUACAUAAGAGCUGACACAGUAAAGACUUUACCAUUUAAUAAAAUGUACAAACUUAA